rnacentral:rRNA from 1 species
ACAGAGGGGGCAAGCGUUGCUCGGAAUUAUUGGGCGUAAAGGGCGCGUAGGCGGUGCGGUAAGUCUGAUGUGAAACCUCCAGGCUCAACUUGGAGCUUGCAUUAGAAACUGCCGUGCUAGAGUGCGGGAGAGGAGAGUGGGAUUCUCGGUGUAGCGGUGAAAUGCGUAGAUAUCGGGAGGAACACCGGUGGCGAAGGCGGCUCUCUGGACCGCAACUGACGCUGAGGCGCGAAAGCUAGGGGAGCAAACAGGA